UACGGAGGGGGCUAGCGUUGUUCGGAAUUACUGGGCGUAAAGCGCGCGUAGGCGGAUCUGCAAGUCGGGGGUGAAAUCCCGAGGCUCAACCUCGGAACUGCCUUCGAUACUGCGGGUCUCGAGUCCGGGAGAGGUGAGUGGAAUUCCUAGUGUAGAGGUGAAAUUCGUAGAUAUUAGGAAGAACACCAGUGGCGAAGGCGGCUCACUGGCCCGAUACUGACGCUGAGGCGCGAAAGCGUGGGGAGCAAACAGG
rnacentral:rRNA from 1 species